ACUCCUACGGGAGGCAGCAGUGGGGAAUAUUGCACAAUGGGCGCAAGCCUGAUGCAGCCAUGCCGCGUGUAUGAAGAAGGCCUUCGGGUUGUAAAGUACUUUCAGCAGUGAGGAAGGUGGGAUAUGUUAAUAGCAUAUCAUUUGACGUAGCUGCAGAAAGAAGCACCGGGCUAACUCCGUGCCAGCAGCCGCGGUAAUACGGAGGGUGCGAGCGUUAAUCGGAAUUACUGGGCGUAAAGCGCAUGCAGGUGGUUUGUUAAGUCAGAUGUGAAAGCCCGGGGCUCAACCUCGGAA
rnacentral:rRNA from 1 species